CAUAAAUAUGUUGCCAUGAACAUCCAUGCGCCCACAGACAAUAAAGAAAGCUUUUGACAGUCUUUCUCAAUUGUAGUUCCAGGCCUGAAAUUUCGGCACUUUCUUUAGCGUGUUGCUCCGAUUAAAGGCGGCUUCGAUUGACGCUGCUUCGAAUAAUUGUUUAAAAAAUGACAACUUGUUUUGCCACAUUUGAUCAAAACAAAAGGAAUUACAAAGCCGGUGAAUCUGUUAGAGGCCAAUUUGUUUUAAAUACAACCACGGAUAAACCCGUUCAUGCGGUCUACAUACAAUUGCGGGGAGAAGGAAUAGUGUUUGUAAAUGAAUACAGAAAUGUGCCUAUGAAGAGCGGCAUAGAAAAAAUAGUGGAUACACGAGUUAACAUUAUUGAAGCGACGUCCCUAGCGGCUGGCACCUACACAAUCCCAUUUAACUUCGUUAUACCAGAUAAUGCUCCAACGUCAUGCUUUUUCGACCUUGGAAUAGUGAAGUAUUCUGUUGUGCUUGUUAUCGAUCGUCCAUGGAAGUUUGAUAAAGAAUUUGAAGAGCUCAUAAACGUAAGAGGAUGCUACGAUCUUAGCAAGUAUCCAGAGCUGUUCCCAUAGAAAAUGAAGUCAUAAAGAGCUUUUGCUGCUGGCCCUGUGCCUCAGCCCCAAUCAUAUUAAGUUUAAGGAUGCCCAUCAGUGGAUAUGUGCCCGGCGAGACAAUUAACUGCAUCAUAAGCAUAGAUAACCAGGCGGUGGGUAACGAUUUGGUUAACGUUCAAUUGUCCCUUAUUCAAAUCGUCAAGUUUGCGAGUAUCUUAUCUGAUGCAAGAACUGUAAUACGCACACGGAAAGCGGUAAUCUGCUCUAACCUGGUCGCAGAUCGGAUAAAUCGAUUGUCUAAGAAAUUUAUAAAUGGCACUCUUGUUGUGCCAGACACAGUUCACUCCUCUCGAGAAAGACACGUUAUUCGCAUUCAAUAUUUGGUGUUAUUGAGCAUGGCGUUCGGGUAUUUUCAUCCAAAUUGUGUCAUAGAAGUACCUAUAGUAAUAGGUACCGAACCACUGAUCCCGAAUCUUAAUGAUAACCUAGCAUCGGCAACUGAAAUCACACAAUGGAUACCUCAGACACCUGACACUCCAGCUGGAGCAACAGCACCAUCGGCUCCAUGCUUUGACGAUUCUGAACCAAAUACUACAGAAAAAAAAUAGUGUCUACUCUAAAAAGCCGCCUAAAAUCAAGUGGUAAUGAAUACUUACUGUAUUGAUAUUCACAAUAAUUUAUUUAUGCAACUUUUGUUUCUAAUUAUACACAUAC